CGCUAGAGCAUCUGUGGAUUCGUGAUUGCAGCCAAUUGAUACACCUGUGGCGGGGUUCAACUAAUUUAGACAAACUUUCUAGCUUGAAAUCUUUACGGAUCGAAGGGUGUAAGAAGCUAGUGUCGUUGGUAGGAGGAGUGGAAGGGAAUUUGCCUUGCAAUCUUGAAAUUUUGGAGAUAUACGGCUGCGAUGGAUUAGAGAUUCUGCCAAAUGGGUUGCAAACCCUCACAUCUCUUAGAGAGCUGAAUAUUCAACGGUGCCGAAACCUUGUGUCCUUCCCAUCUGCAGGUUUACCUUGUAGUCUUAAAAGUCUCCAAAUCCACUAUUGUGAUUCUCUGGAGUCCUUGCCUAAGGGCAUUGUGCAUGAUAGUAACGCCAGGAAUGAGAUGUCUCAUCUUGAGGUUGUGGGUGUCAAUAGCUGUCCAUCUCUUACAUCGGUUCUAGUUGGUGAAUUUCCCUAUUCAAUUAAAAAAAUUGCAAUUUGCUUUUGGACGACACAGCUAUUGGAGUCGUUUCAUAAUAUAAUAGGUUUUCGCAUCUCACCACAUUAAUAAUAUAUGGGUCUGAGUUGGAGUCUUUCCCAGAAAGUGGAUUGGCCAUCCCCAACCUUAGCCUUUUAAUCAUAGAACACUGUGAAAAUUUGAGGUUGCUUCCCAAUCAAAUCCAAAAUCUCACAUCUCUUCACAAUUUAGAGAUACGUAAUUGUGCAGGUUUGCUGUCCUUUGCAGAUGAGGGUUUACCCCCAAACCUUACUUCUUUAUUCAUAUUGUCGUGUGAGAAUUGGAGAUCUCUUCCCAAUCAAAUGCAAAAUCUUACAUCUCUUCAACGUUUGCAAAUAUUUAACUGUGGAGGUCUGGUGUCCUUUCCAGAUGGCGGUUUACCUCCAAAACUAGGUCUUCUUAGAAUUUCGUAUUGCAAGAAUCUGAAACAGCCAAUCUCAGAGUGGAGACUCAAAACACUCGCCUCUCUCACCUAUCUCAGAAUCGAAGGGCCAUGUCCAAGUACAGAUAAGGAGGAUUCCUUCCCAGAUGAGAAGGGCCUACUGCUUCCCUCUUCCCUAACCUCUCUUAAGAUCGAAGAUUUUAAAAAUCUGAAAUCAAUAUCCAGGGGCAUUCACCAUCUCACCUCUCUUGGUGAUUUAAGAAUUGGAGAUUGCCCUAAACUCCAGUCCUUUCCCAAGGAGGGCCUUCCGACCACACUUGAAUGGUUGAAUAUCUUCGAGUGUCCCCUCCUGGAAAGACGAUGCAGAAAAGAGAAAGAAGACUAUUGGCGCUUUAUUGCCAAUAUCCCCUACCAUUCUAUAAUAUGAGGUCUGCAAAAAGCGGGACUGCUUAGGCCAGAACUCGAGAUUGUCAUAAUCGUCUCAAAUCCAAUCCCUGGCGGCAAGGAUAAAACUUUCAUGGAUUGUUUUCGAUGUUUUUGGUUUCUACAAUCUACAACUGUAAUUUUAUAAAGACUGCUAUUAGUUAAGCUUGCAAAGUUUGGAUCUUUUUAAGUCUCCAAAUUUAAUUUUCAAAAAAAAAAAAAGACCACAAUCCUGUUUCUGCUACAUAUGACUACAAUGAGCAGUUGUUACCAAUUUAUCAGAGAAGAAUUCUGUUUCCUAUGUUGAAAUACUUAUAUGAGCAUAUUUGUUUACUUAUUGACAAAGAUUUAACGCUCUGGAAAGU